AUUGGUCGCAGGUUCGAAUCCUGCACGACCCACCAAUUUAACAUCAAACUCAGAUGUUGAGCGUGAAGGAUAACGUUGCGUCAGCAACGGCCCGAAGGGCGAGGCGAAGCCGAGUCAUCCUGCACGACCCACCA
rnacentral:sRNA from 1 species